AAAAAUUUUAAAAUGUUGAAAUUUUUGAAAUUAAUAAAACCAAGUUAAAAAUUUUUAAUAGAAUUGUGAAAACAACAAUCUUUUAACAAAAUAAAUUUUUAAUUAGAAAAUUUUCUUGAAAUUUUCUUAAAAAAAACCGAAAAGGAUUUACGAACGUGCUUAAAUAAAAGUGAAUUCAGAAAAGAAAAGAAGAGCACAAAACACAAAAGUGUUGUUACUUUUAAUUUUCUUUCAUUAUUUUUUUUUCUCAAUUUUAUUGAAUUAAGAAUUUUAAACUUUUGAAUUAAAAAUUUAUAAUAUUUUUUUGUCUCAUAUAAAAAGUAAAAGUGGAAAAACAAAGAAGUUUAAUAAUUUUGUACAAAAAAAAAAAUUAAUUUUUCCAAUUACAUUUUUUGUUUUUCAUUUAAAGAAAAUUUUAUAUUUGUUUUAAUUUAAUUUUAAUUGUGAAAAUUUGAGAAUUUCUUUCAAUUGAAUUACUAAAACGAAUUCCGUGUACGAGAUACGAGUAAGGAAAUUAAGGAUCUUUAAAUAUUAAAGAAGGCUGUUCUCUUCUUUAUUAUACUGCUCCAAAAAUUUCAACAUUUAAAAUUGAUUUAUUUAAGAAAAUUUAAUAAAUACUUGAAAAACUGUUGCUGAUGUCAGUGUUACUGAAUUAAUUGAGUAUCAAUAUCAAGCAUUUGUCAUUACAUUGUACAUAUUAUAUAAAAUCUCGAACAACAUAUAUGUAUAUGUAUUUAGAAUGUAUUACAAUUCACAAUAAAAAGUUAACUAGACAAUUAAAUGAUUAAAAUUGUUUUAAUUCAGGAUUUCUGUGAAUUAUCAAUUAAAAAAAUUAAAUUUGAAAAAGUUACAACGUAGAUAAUGUAUUUUGUGUCGAUGUGGCUUUUAAAGGAUAUUUGAAUAUUAAAUUAUAAUAAAGUAGAAUAUAUAUUAUAUAUCGUAUAUUGUACAUACUCGUACAUGUACUUACAUACGAUUUCUUUUUAAGCAACAGCAAGAAGAAGGCAAAAAAUAAAAACAGGAUAAUCUGAUACUUUAACCAAUUUAAUAAAGAAAUGAAAUAGGAGAAUUUAUUACUAUAUAUGUAUGUAUGUAUGAAUUUUUAUUGAGAUUCACAUACCUUUAGAUC